rnacentral:rRNA from 1 species
UACGGAGGGUGCGAGCGUUGUCCGGAAUCAUUGGGCGUAAAGGGCGCGUAGGUGGCGGGACAAGCGUGCGGUGAAAGCUCGGGGCUCAACCCCGCGUCGGCCGUGCGAACUGUUUUGCUUGAGCACUGUAGAGGCAGGCGGAAUUCCGGGUGUAGCGGUGGAAUGCGUAGAGAUCCGGAAGAACACCGGUGGCGAAGGCGGUCUGCUGGGCAGUUGCUGACACUGAGGCGCGACAGCGUGGGGAGCAAACAGG